rnacentral:rRNA from 1 species
UACAGAGGGUGCGAGCGUUAAUCGGAAUUACUGGGCGUAAAGCGCGCGUAGGCGGCUUUGCAAGUCGAGUGUGAAAUCCCCAGGCUUAACCUGGGAACUGCAUUCGAGACUGCAUAGCUAGAGUAUGGGAGAGGGAAGUGGAAUUCCACGUGUAGCGGUGAAAUGCGUAGAUAUGUGGAGGAACACCAGUGGCGAAGGCGACUCUCUGGUCUGUAACUGACGCUGAGGCGCGAAAGCCAGGGGAGCAAACGGG